CCCUGCUGUUUCAUUACAUUGGUGUCAGAAAUGAUCGGACCUUGCAUCCACGACUGUGCGUGUGCUUGACCGGUGAGCGCGUUCCUAUAAAACGUUGAGUCGCAGACUAGAGAUGAUACGCUAUUUGAAAGGCGGGAGUAGCGUAACGACUCUGGGUUUAUAAGCGCGGAUAUAGACUCUGCACCUGGAGGAUGCUUUUGUGGCACAGUCGACAGCGCGUUGGACUUCGGGAUAGAGGGUUCGAGACCUGCUGGUUCACAUAACCUGGUUCAUUAUAUUUUAUUUGCGGAGGGAGAUGAAAUCUAGACGCUUGAUAUCAGAUGUCAUUAUUUAAAGAAUACACCCCAAAAUAGUGUUAACCUUUUUUUCCCGACAAAGUUUUACUCGUGUAACGAAAUUACGUGUAAAAACAACAGAAUAAAAACACACAAAAGCAACCAAUGUACUUUUUGGAACAUCCCAAUUAGGUUCAGCAAAUGUAAGCUUGCCGUGGCGCAUCGCUUUUGACAAUCGGUUCAACGUUUUUUCGUGCACUUCAAGCGGGGAAAGUUUGCGCGGCAGUGUGUUUAAUUUAUUCUGUUUUAACGGUUUUAGAAAUGGAUAUCCAGAAACAGAGCAACGGAUGUCAGACUUCCGCAAGUUUGAAGCUGUCAAAUGGUUAUAUUUUACCUGAAGGUAAAAUGACUCCAAACACACUUUUUGUUGGAGGAAUCGACAUGAAGGUGGAUGAGAACGAAAUCCGUGACUUCUUUGCGAGAUUUGGUGCCGUGAAGGAAGUGAAAAUCAUCACUUACCGUGGAGGUAUCUGCAAAGGUUAUGGAUUUGUUUACUUCAAUGAAGACGUUGACAUCCAAACCAUCAUUGAACAACAGAUCAGUUUUAAAGGGAGGAAACUCAAGCUGGGUCCAGCAAUCAUGAAGGAAAGGAGCUCACGUUCCAUGCCGUCUCACCUGGUUGAUCAGGCCCCCUGGAUAACCCCCUCCCAGUACAUCUACUGCACCUGCUGCUCUCCUAUGGGUGGGGGCAUGGCUCAGCCUUCACCUGUACUCAAUGGCGGCAAUCCCUACUUCCAGCCUUACUCGUACAACGGCUUUCCAGGAGUCAUGAUUCCACAGAUGCCCGUGCGCUACUCGCAAACCAAUUACGCGUACCAGUACGCCUCACCACACUGGACUGGAGAGCAGAGGACACGGCUCAUCAACCAGCCAGCUCAUUAUGUGAUGUGAUGCCCCGUUUCCAGAACUUUGUGGACUGCGGAGUCCAGACUCUGCUGUAGUCCACAGCCCACUGACCCUCCUGCUGUACCAGGGGGCGACGUCUCCAUGCAGACUGGAGCACACAGUGACAUCCUGGCCUUUAGAGAGCUAGCAGCAAUAGACUUUAAAAAUAUACACUUUCAGGAUGCUUUCUCUCUACGACAUCUCCUGCUCACUUUGAGACCCGACAACUUGCACCUGCACCCGAUGGGCGUGGUCACUGACCGUGUUUGGCUUGGCUAGGACCAUGCACCCGAUGGGCGUGGUCACUGACCGUGUUUGGCUUGGCUAGGACCAUGCACCCGAUGGGCGUGGUCACUGACUGUGUUUGGCUUGGCUAGGACCAUGCACCCGAUGGGCGUGGUCACUGACCGUGCUCCGUGUUUGGCUUGGCUAGGACCAUGCACCCGAUGGGCGUGGUCACUGACCGUGCUCUGUGUUCGGCUUGGCUAGGACCAUGGUCCUGGCGUUUGGACCGCUUUCAACCCAUCUCAAACACUAUCGCAGGGAAGAGCGGAAGUGAUUUUGGGGCUUCAGCUUGUUUACAGCACAGAGCAACGCCUUUUUUAAAUUUAUUUUUACAAUUUUUUGGGGAGGUGGGGGUUGGUUUUGAUAACCCCCAAAAAGAAAAUAAUUUUAAGCUCAUCUGCAUAUAUAUAUUUUAUGUUUGACUAUGUUGAAAGUUUUUUAAUGUCAGUUUGUUUGGGUGUAAGCUUUUUGCUGGGCUUCUGUACAUAGAUUUGUAACACAACAAAUUAGCCUUUUAAAAUAGUGUGUUGUUUUUGACUUUUUCUAUUAUUAAUUCAAGUUUCCAUCCCCAUCUUCCUCUGAUUUAAGAAACUAAUGCAUCAAAUUAUUGUGGGCAGAAUUGGGCACAACACUGGCACGUUAUUUUUCAGGCACUCCUGUUGCCUUAGUGCUCUUUUAUAUAAUUUCUUGACAGGUUCUUGUCUUACGCUACUUAAAUCACCUUUUUAUUUCGAUUUACUUCAGUGAAUUAGAAGUGCCUGCCUGCUUUUUUUGUUGAGGGGUUAAUUGAAUCGAUGUUAGUGUAUUUACAAUUGGGAUGCACUGAUAUCAUUUUGAGUGUUGCUGUUUACAAAGUUAUGAAUCCUUUUAUUGUGGCCAAUGUUUCUUAGGAUGUGUACCAAAUGGCACCCUUGUCCUUAUUUAAUGCACUACUUUUGACUAGAACCCUGAGCAACAGUAGUGAACUAUAGGGAAUAAGCCUUUGAGUGUUGCCGUUUCUUAAGUUAUGGAUCCUGUGGCCAAUGUUUCUUAGACGGUUCCAGCUCUUGCAGUACGUCGCCAAGAGGAAAAUCAUUGAGUCAAUUUCACCUGACGGUGUUGAUAAACUACUUUUAUAAUGCAGCCCAGCAGCCUGGGUCGGGAAACCUGUUUUAAUUCACUCUGAAAUGAAGGACAUAACUAACAGCAAUGCGUUCCAUCACUAAUUUUUGAAGUUCUCUUAAUGUUCACUUUAUAUAUAUUUGUUGUUGUUGCACUGAUUAAUUUGUUGACCAAGUGUGUUUUGUAGGAAUGUUUUGCUUUCUUUUGUUUUUUUUUAGAGGUGGAGUGAUUUGAUGUGUUUAUGACGUAUCAAUACCAUAUUUUCAGUUUGAUUAUAAUCACUUUUCAGCCCGACGGGGUUAACUGGUUGCAGUUAAAAUUGAUAAACACAUUUUGCAUUUCAAGAUAUUUAUUUAUUUGAUACAUCAGUUGAGAGACAUUUGUUGACUCCCUGUCUUUGUCUUCUAAGCCAGUGUUUCCUAAAUACCUUUCUAUUUUAUUUUAUUUUAAGAUAAGCUUGAAAUUGGAAUUGUCAAAGAAUUGACUCAACAACAACAAACACACAUCCAAGUUUAGCUUUGUUAUAAUGAACCAGGCAAUCUAUAGUUAUUUCUGGUUGUUUGUGAAAGUUAUCUGGCUAUUUGUAUUAUAACCCUUGGAGUUUCUUCCCAGAAGAUUGUUUCUGGAAUAUUUAUCUGUUUACUGUUGCAUAGAUGCUCUGUCUUCACUGUGGACUGGUUGACAUCUGAAGUUGGUCAACACCCAGAGUGUGAUCCAAAGAGCAGACAUGCCUAACGAUUCUACUACAGUCAAUUAAAGUAUGAAGCUGGCCCUAA